GACAUGGGAAGCUUGCUUCCUAUGAAAUCGAGUGGCAAACGGGUGAGUAACGCGUAAACAACCUGCCCUUCGGAUGGGGAUAACAGCCGGAAACGGCUGCUAAUACCGAAUACGAUCUUUUCGUCGCAUGACGGAAAGAAGAAAGGAUGGCCUCUAUACAAAGCUAUCGCCGAAGGAGGGGUUUGCGUCUGAUUAGCUGGUUGGAGGGGUAACGGCCCAACAAGGCGAUGAUCAGUAGCCGGUCUGAGAGGAUGAACGGCCACAUUGGGACUGAGACACGGCCCAGACUCCUACGGGAGGCAGCAGUGGGGAAUCUUCCGCAAUGGACGAAAGUCUGACGGAGCAACGCCGCGUGAGUGAAGAAGGUCUUCGGAUUGUAAAGCUCUGUUAUACGGGACGAAAAAGACGGAUGCCAACAGUAUCCGUCCGUGACGGUACC
rnacentral:rRNA from 1 species